rnacentral:rRNA from 1 species
UACGUAGGGUGCGAGCGUUAAUCGGAAUUACUGGGCGUAAAGCGUGCGCAGGCGGUUCGUUGUGUCGGCGGUGAAAGCCCCGGGCUUAACCUGGGAAUGGCUGUUGAAACUGGCGAACUGGAGUGUGGCAGAGGGGGGUGGAAUUCCGCGUGUAGCAGUGAAAUGCGUAGAGAUGCGGAGGAACACCGAUGGCGAAGGCAGCCCCCUGGGCUGACACUGACGCUCAGGCACGAAAGCGUGGGGAGCAAACAGG